rnacentral:rRNA from 1 species
CCUACGGGAGGCAGCAGUGAGGAAUAUUGGUCAAUGGACGAGAGUCUGAACCAGCCAAGUAGCGUGAAGGAUGACUGCCCUAUGGGUUGUAACCUUCUUUUAUAAAGGAAUAAAACGAGGCACGUGUGCCUUUUUGCAUGUACUUUAUGAAUAAGGAUCGCCUAACUCCGUGCCAGCAGCCGCGGUAAUACGGAGGAUCCGAGCGUUAUCCGGAUUUAUUGGGUUUAAAGGGAGCGUAGAUGGGUUGUUAAGUCAGUUGUGAAAGUUUGCGGCUCAACCGUAAAAUUGCAAUUGAUACUGGCAGUCUUGAGUACAGUUGAGGUAGGCGGAAUUCGUGGUGUAGCGGUGAAAUGCUUAGAUAUCACGAAGAACCCCGAUUGCGAAGGCAGCUUACUAAACUGUGACUGACACUGAUGCUCGAAAGUGUGGGUAUCAAACAGGAUUAGAUACCCGUGUAGUC